ACCUGACUGGCUCCGUCAGUGGAGCGUGUGACUCUUGAUCUCAGGGUCAUGAGUUCAAGCCCCAUGUUGGGCA
rfam:Felis catus isolate Cinnamon breed Abyssinian chromosome D4, whole genome shotgun sequence.